UUGUAAAGGAGGGGAAGCCUGGUGAAGUUGAUUGAAAAGCACAGUACAUGUCAAUGUAGUUCAAUCUAAACAGAUACGGUCACCGCCAUGACAUUGCGACACAGCGGGCAUAACUGUGGAAUAACAAUGUGUAACGUUAAGUAAAUUGUGAGACUUUCUCAAACAAACAAAAAAAAGAGUUAUUUCAACAUCAUUUAUUUUAAACAACCGGGAGAGUUGCGUAAGUUAACGUUAGCUAGCUAGUUUUCCACUGUUGCUAGCGUUAAUGCUAACAGCUAAAGUAACGUUAGUUCUGUUAGACUAAAUAGCUAACUAGCUAGCAAGAAGAAGAAAUGAAAAAAGAGGACGGUCAGCAACAAGUACAAUGGGACAUUUUAUGGCAUGGAUAUGGACCAGUUCACCCCCAUGAAGUAAAGGAAGAUGGGCUUCGACAACAAAUAAAUCAUUUGAGACCAGCCAAAGACAACCCGUCUGGAUUCAUAGUUUCACGCAGAGCACCCUGCAGAGGCCCGACUUACUGGACAGCCUCUCUGACAGCAGGGGGUGGCGGAUUUUCCACGAAAUAGAAGUCAUUUCCUCCAUUUUCUUCCAGCAACAAAAGACGCAAAUGCAUACACACUUUCAAAUGAUGUGUUGUCAUCACUUCAGCAAAAGGUCAGACGUGGGUGUUACUUCAUCUGUGGUAACUUGUUGAGGAGGUUGAAAUCGAUGCCAAUAAGUCACAUUCAUGGCAGUAACAGCUGGCAGGCAGCACACUGUCACAGACUGUGUUCCAGGAGAUUUAAAGGGAGAUUAAAGUU